GCUAGAUUUUCUUUUAUACUUUGGUUUAGAAAGGGGAGGAGGAGCCUAGCUGAAGCAAUCUUACAGAAGUAAAACAGGCAAAAAAGUUAGAAAGACAAAUGGUUAUGGGAAAACAAACAGUUCCGGGUGCAGGGGCUUUAAAUCCAUCACAAGGUGAUAGACGCGGAGGCUUUGGGUACCAUCAACCAGACACAAAUGCGGGGGCUUAGGGUACUAUCAACCGGGCAAAUUCCUGGGAACUGUGGCUAUAGCUUGCCACAGUAUCUUAUCAGUUAUUUGCGUUCUUUGAUGUGCUGGGAGUCAGCUUGCACAAGUUAAGUCCUUGAGGAAGGGGGGUGGGUAAGAGGCUGCAAGGGGCUACAAGUGAAGGAGCCAAAAUGGAGUUUGUCUGGCUCUCUCAGCUAAGGGAGAGUCAAUUCAGGUUAAAACAAGGUAGGGUAUCACAUCUGCACUGAGAACACAUGGCUGGACCUCCUUGAUGGCUCUGAGCCUGGAUCUCCACUGACACAUGCUGUUGUUUUCCUUGUCACAUGGUAAAGGAUGAGCAAGGUGAGGCACCGACAUUAAACUAACUCUUCUGCUUCCACAAUAGGAGGUUCUGGGGGAAGAGAAGCUGAAGGAGAUACUGAAGGAGCGGGAACUUAAAAUUUACUGGGGAACGGCAACCACGGGCAAACCACAUGUGGCUUACUUUGUGCCCAUGUCAAAGAUUGCAGACUUCUUGAAGGCAGGGUGUGAGGUAACAAUUCUGUUUGCGGACCUCCACGCAUACCUG
rnacentral:sRNA from 1 species